UAAUACCGUAUGAUGUCUUCUAUCGCCUGUUAGAAGAAUCAAAGAUGCUUUUGUAUCGCACAUAGAUGGGCCUGCGUUCCAUUAGCUAGUUGGUAAGGUAACGGCUUACCAAGGCCACGAUGGAUAGCUGAUCUGAGAGGGUGAUCAGCCACACUGGGACUGAGAUACGGCCCAG
rnacentral:rRNA from 1 species